AUACGGAGGGUGCAAGCGUUGUCCGGAUUUAUUGGGUUUAAAGGGUGCGUAGGCGGAUAAUUAAGUCAGUGGUGAAAGACUGCAGCUCAACUGUAGAGGUGCCAUUGAUACUGAUUAUCUUGAGUACAGUUGAGGUAGGCGGAAUUUAUGGUGUAGCGGUGAAAUGCAUAGAUACCAUAAAGAACACCGGUAGCGAAGGCAGCUUACUGGACUGUAACUGACGCUGAGGCACGAAAGCGUGGGGAGCGAACGGGAUUAGAAACCCUAGUAGUCC
rnacentral:rRNA from 1 species